AUACUAGACAGCUCCAUAAGAUUAAUCAGACAAUAAAAGACAUCAAAUAUCGACAUUUACAAGGAUCUUAUAUGAUGUAGGUACUAGUGUAAUAUUGGUGAGCAAUACUAAUGCCUUUUUUGACCAUUAUAGAGAACAAAAUUGUCAAAUAUUACUUGGAUAGAAAAGCGAUAAAUACAAUUGAACAAGUCAGUAACUUGAUCAAGAAACCACAAAUAGAACUGAAUACGUGAACCCAGCCACGCCAAUCAUUACAUCUUGCAAACCCACACCAAUUGGCAAAAGCAGAACCACUAAUAUUUGAUGAAUCGACCUGCCAGUCCAUGGACUCCAUUUAGAGGUGGCAUGAAACUUCCAUUCCAUCCCAGGCAAUUUCCUUCAUUUUCUUUAGCCAUUCAAGCAGCCAUGAAAACAGAACUUCAUAUUCAAACCCUAUUCAUCCUGGCCAAGGAAAUAACAUGCUUCAAGACAUGUUCUAUAAAGCAUGCACAUAAUUGGAUAUUACUUAUUGUCCGUCAAAAAAAUGGACAUUAGAACAUCACCAACAGAUUAAACUAAAGCAAAGUUGAAUAAAUAAAACUUGACGACCUACUCUAUCCAAGAAUAAUUUUCACACUCAGGUACAUAUCAAGCGGUCGAGUAGACCAACUCUGCAAGGUUAGUCAAUUUUUGGUAAUAUCUGCCUUGAUGAUGUCAACACUCAACACCACCGCUAUCAACUGUAAUUUUUUAAGUCAUGUGUUGGUGUGUCCAUGUACUAGCAAUGAGAAUCUACUACUCAAGCAUUUAGAAUCCAAGUUUGCCUAAUUAGGAAUUUGCACACAAUAUCAGUAUUUUUAACAGGAAAAAAAAUAAUUACAAAAAAAAAAGGUUCAGUUCUAGACAACAGAAAACUUUAUGCCUGUUCUCAUAAUGCCAAGCAAAAAUAACUGUGAGAACACCAAUGUUGUACUAUUAUGACCCUGAAGAAUGCAAACAAACAAAUUAUCAUGGCAAAUUAUAAGCCUAAAGCCUUAAAUUUUUCACAACCUUUUCUUCAUUUUGUUGGCCUUUACAAAAAUGUAUUAGGAGCGAACAACACUUCUUAAGGACAUGGCGAAUUGACUUUCUCAACAGUUAAAUAGUCCACUAAUUUAUAAUAUGAAAAUGAUACAUAAUAUUUUGCUCUAUUUCCUAUUUUCAGAUUCAACAUACAUUCUAACUCCAGGAGGCUGUAUUCACCUGAUUUCCAUAAAUUCAAAAUUGCCAAUAUGCAAGUCUAUUAUUUAUUAUCCAAAUUACCCCAAAAAUGGAAAUGGACAAUUAAAUUAUUGUUGAAAGGAAAAAUUAUCAUGUAAUAUGAGCAGACAAAUUCUAUAAAUUGUGCAAUGAAACUGGUCCAGUAAUGGUUGAAGUUAUUGUUAAUAUUCAUACUGGUGGCACUUCACUGAACCCGAAGCUCAGCUUAUUUCAAUGCACACAAAUAAAGUAGACUAA
rnacentral:misc_RNA from 1 species